GGCAAUGUGUGUGGUGGGGCAGUGUGUAUAUGUGGGGGAUAUAAGGAUUUUCAAACUCUGUUCACAAGUCAUUUAAUGGCUGGAGUUAACAUUGUCAGACCUCAGUUAAGUUCUCUGGGUGAUUAUAUUUUGCAAGUCUUAUAUUAGUUACCAUGAAAUGAACAUGCAACAUCGACUACACAAAAACACACUCUGCAAUCACUAUACACUCAGUACAUCUACUACACAAACACAGACUCUGCAGUUACUAUACAAACACACACUGCGCAUUCACAAUACAUAGAAACAUAGAAUGUGACGGCAGAUAAGAACCAUUCGGCCCAUCUAGUCUGCCCAAUUUUCUAAAUACUUUCAUUAGUCCCUAGUCUUAUCUUAUAGUUAGGAUAGCCUUAUGCCUAUCCCACGCAUGUUUAAACUCCUUUACUGUGUUACACAUUUAGCAGUCACUAUACACACACUAUAUCCACUUCACAAACACACACUCUGCAGUCACUAUACACUGACUACAUCCACUACACAAACACAUGCUCUGCAAUGACUAUACACACUCUGCAGUCAUUAUACACACUGCAUCUAAUACACACAAACACUACAUCCACUACACAAACCCAC